rnacentral:lncRNA from 1 species
GAGAAACUCCCUGUAAGCUCACUCCACCCUCUAGUGGGUAUCGCCACUCCGUUCACUCCAUUUUCGAAUUCACUUACUUUUUUGUUGUUGCUGUUCCUCGGCUUUCUUCUGUUUGCACGACGCAGUUUGCUUUGUUGCUUAUGAUUUAUGUGCCAAACACACACACACAGAGUUCCGUUCCGUUCCACACACACACCGUAAAUAGUAACUGCAGUCCGCCCAGUCCCAGUCGCAGUCCCAACCGUUCCUCGGCCCAAGUAUUACACGCAAAUUGCACGCAACACGCGAAUCGCGAAUCGCGAAUGGAAAUGACGUCGCGGCAGCCGCCACUCGUGCGUGGAGCGGGGCCAGGGCCUGCCUGUGCGAUAUUUCUGUCACAGGGCACCCAUGUCCGGAGUCCGGAGUCCUGCGUCCGGAGACUCUGCGUCAUCCUUGGCGCGGGACAUGCGUGUAAGUCGCUUAUCGCCAGACUGUGCCUGCAAGUCCUCUUGUGGCUGUCAGGAGCAGGGCACACUUUAAAUAUCCUUAUGCAUACCAUAAAUACAGACUUAAAUGCUAAUCCCUGAAUGACGACCAAAAUGGCUGUUGAGUGGCCAAAAGUGCGUCCUGGAUAUGAAUCAGUCGGCUGGCUAAAGUUAUUUGCAGCUUAAAGUCCUGCAGGAGCCUCAGCUGUUUGUACAUUUUAAUAUUUGCUCCUUUUUUCUGCCGGCCGGCCAUUGUUUUGACAACUUAAUGGCGACAAAAAACAUUUAAUAUAUGGCCCAGAGCGUGCUCGCAACUCACUUUUUAAUCACUUUUCAUGGGCUUUUAAUUACACACACCCGCCUGAAAUAUUAUGAAAAACCAAACGCAUAAAAUGCUUAACAAGCUUUUUCCAGGCACAAGGGACACCGCACACACAGGAACGAAAGAAUAAAAUAAAAAUAUACUCCCAGCCCACCCACUCAUUUCCGUUAUAAUAAUGUGUGAAAGGAUAUUAAUUAUGAAACAAGCGAAUGGCAGGAAGCUCGGGCAAUAAAAACAGCAAGCGACAGCCUGACCAGAAGCCCAGCACACAUCCCCAGACAUGCCCCCACAGCAGCCAGAGAAAAAACAAACAAAAAUGGAGCCCUCUGGUGACGAAGCUACAGCUACCCUGUAACACUCGUAGAGCUAACCAAAUUGUCCACCGAUGGAGGGAAUUUAUCUGCCAAUAAACGUUAAAAUUACUUUAAUUCCAAGUUCAUUUUUCAACGCAACAAAAAUCUCUCAAACAUUUCCCACUAGGCUUUGGUUUUUGGUAGAACUUUGGUUGGACUCUGCUGGGGCAGCCGCAGGAACCAUCCAGGAUGUUGGCUUAGGCGAGGAAACGGGAGCAACAUGUGCAACAUGUCCAACGGAAGUGUCGGCCAUAUACAACACACACACACACACACACAUGGACCACUACUAAGACAACCCACAUAGGCCCACGUCGCACACACACAAAUUACGAGACCGGGGCCCAAGUAGAUUUUUAUGUAAUGUCGGUCGGUUAUUGCUUCCAUUUCAUACAUUUAUUUCAUUUCAUUUCAUUUCAUUUCAUUUACCCCAAGCCAAAGCCUCCUUCCCGCCCACCCAG